rnacentral:rRNA from 2 species
ACGACCACACCUGCGAGAAAAUACGGGAUCCCGUCCGCUCUCCCAUCGUCAAGCUCGCAAGGGGUGGAUUAGUAGUUGGGUCGGUGACGACCAGCGAAUACCCGCUGUUGUAUGUU